rnacentral:lncRNA from 1 species
UGGGCCAAGAAAGACACAAUGCUAUCAAGAGAAGGGGGGAAGAGGAAGAGAGAGGGGGAAAGGUGGUGGCUGAAAGAGAAAGGGGAAAAAGAGAUAGAGGGAGAGGGCAUUCCCCUUAUUUAUAGGGAAAAUGAUGUAACACAGACCCAGUCUCCAGGGCCACAGCUUCCUACACAGACAUCGCCCUGCCCAUCCGAUGGGGUUGUUAGCAUCUUUCUCUCCUCUUGAGGAAACACAACCGCUUGGGACUCAGUUCCUUUUUCAGAUUUAUGUCUUUCAGUCAAAGGCUAAGCCACACAUCCUAAUAGUGCCACUCCCUAUGGAUCAACAUGGGCAUUCU